rnacentral:lncRNA from 1 species
UGAUGAUAAAUAGGCAUCGCAGAAAAUGCAAGUGAGAAUAGUGUGACUUUCAUAAUAUAGGCUAUCAACUUGAAUUUCGCCCAAAACAUAGUUAUUAGUUUGCCAUUUGUCCUAUCACACUAUUUGAGUUCCUAGAUUUCUUUAACCUAUGCUCCAACGAGGAAUGAAAUAUCCUCAUCUUUAAGGGCUAAACAAACAAGAAACUAGCUUUGACUUCUAAAGCCAAUUGAUCUUUCUUCAUUUUCACUAACAGUUAACAGAAAAUGAGCAAUCAGUUUUCCAAAAGGAGAUUCUUCCUUAGCAACCCAACCUGUAGAGAGAAAAAGAAAUCUAUCAAUUCAGAUGUCCGUCUAAUUCUAAUUAAGUUGUUUCUCUGAUGUCCUACAAGGACUAUAAUAGGCUUAACCAAUCCGCUCUCCAACUUCUAUGACACCAACCCCCCCCCCCUAAAAAAAAACCACCCAAAACAGAGAUUGGCUCAACAAAUUACCUAACCCAUGCAAAAUAGUCCCGAUAUAUAAAUUUUUUUCCAAUAAACCAUGAGUCAAUGAGAUACAUCAUUUCAAAUUAACUACAUAGGCAUGAAAAGACAGUCACUUUGGCGUGUGUUCCAUUGUGCAAAUGUGAAAUCGGUAAAGUAACGAGUGCAUAAUGUUGCUAGACGGGCAAAUCUCCACCUACUCAAAAAUCAAGCGACGGUG